rnacentral:rRNA from 1 species
GACAGAGGGUGCAAACGUUGUUCGGAAUUACUGGGCGUAAAGCGCGUGUAGGCGGCUAAGUAAGUCGGGCGUGAAAUCCCACGGCUCAACCGUGGAAGUGCACUCGAAACUGCAUAGCUAGAGUCCUGGAGAGGAAGGUGGAAUGCUUGGUGUAGAGGUGAAAUUCGUAGAUAUCAAGCGGAACACCGGUGGCGAAGGCGGCCUUCUGGACAGUGACUGACGCUGAGACGCGAAAGCGUGGGGAUCAAACAGG